AUGUACAAAAGUCUUAAAGGGCAUCAGACGCUAUGUGAUGUCCUGAAAAAGCAGAUUCUAAACCGAAACCCUAGGAAAGAGGGUGUAGGGUUCGUAAGGAAAAUGAAUGCAGAUGGCUCUUACUGGAAACCUGAGCAGUACCCCAAAACCAUGUGGGUUGCUGCAAAGGAACCUUCAGCAGAUCCAUCCAAUCUAUCUGGCUUCACUUGUACUAACCCCAUUAUCAUUGAUGAAUCCUUUGAUGCAAACUAUAUACUGUUUAAGAAUCAGAAUGGUGAAGUAUUUGCCAGGUACAUUGGUACUAACUGCAAGAAUGGACCGCCUAUGAAGAAGAUCUGGGUUCCGAAAAGGUGUCUGGAGAGUCUUCCUGUGAAUGUCAUCAUGACACCUCACGUGAAGAAGACAAACCUCAGACCAAAGGCUUCAUAUGGUCCAAAGGCUUCAUACAGACAGAGGACUCACCUGAGUCGCACUAACGCAAAUGUUUUGCAGGGAAACCAUACUCAGGCAUAUGAAUAUGAGAGUGGUUCAUCAAACCGCCAUGUUCAUAAGACCAAGAACUAUUCUGCUUAUUCUUAUGAGUACUAUUGUCCGCCUGCAAGACUGUUUGCCAAGGCUUCAAAGCCAAAAUUCUCAGAUGUUGCACUUAGACUUAUUGCUUCUAAGCCGCCCUUGAUGUGGGUGGCUAAGAAAGCUUAA
rnacentral:rRNA from 1 species